GGUGGAACAGAUGAGAUUCCUCUUGUGGCAAGCCAGGAAGAAACACUGAAUGCCUUACAACCACCUCCAAAUCUGGAAUCCUUCUCUCUCUAUCACUACAGUGGCACCACACUCCGGCCCCAUUGGAUGACGUCAUUAAACAAAUUGAGAAUCCUUACCCUCGGAUAUUUCGACUAUGUUGAGGUUUUGCCUCCUUUGGGGAGAUUGGAGUCCCUUGAAGUAUUGGAGAUACAAGAUUGGCCGAGCUUGAAAAAGGUGGGGGUUGAGUUUUUGGGAAUAGAAACGCAAACAUCAUCUCCAAUUAUUUUAUUCCCAAAUUUGAAAAAACUUGUAUUCGAGUUUUUGCCCAUGUGGGAAGAGUGGGAAGGAAUGACAGGGUGGAGUGAAGAAGAGGAUUCUCAGAAGACAAUCACAAUAAUGCCCUACCUUUCUUCCUUACAAAUUGGUUAUUGCGGUUUGCUUAAAACACUGCCCAACUUCUUACGAAAUACGCCGCUCAAGGAGCUUGUCAUCGGUUUCGGCUGUCGGAUUCUUGCACAAGGUUGCCAAAAAGGCAGAGGAGGAAGCGAGUGGCCCAAGAUUUCUCACAUCCCAAACAUCAAAGUUUGGAUCGGACCAAGUAGCGAAUUUGUACAAAAAGAUGGAGUUUGGAUCGGACAACAACAAACUGAUGAUGAUGAACGCUAAGUGUCGCUUCCACCUCUUCUUCUUAUGGAGUAAACUUGGGACACAAGUCUACCUUGAACUCGAACAUGAAGAUGAAGACACGUACUCCACGCCUUAAUUCCAGCAGCUGAAGCUUUUUUUAUGGCAUUCAAAGAGGGAAGAUCUGGAAGUGAAGUCUCAUUUGAGUUCACCUUUGUACAGUAAUGAAAAUAAUUAUAAUAUCCGAUAUGCAUCUAUAUAUGUAAUUAUGAUCUCUGUUGAGAUGUUGUUAUAUAUCACUCUCAUCUGAAAUGUCAGAUAUGUACAUUAAUAGCCAAUAAUUCAAUCAUGAACUCUUCAUAUUCUUGGUGUGAA